AUAUUGUAGCUUGCUAUGGUAUAAUUUAGUGGCAGACGGGUGAGUAAUGUAUAGGAAUCUACCUAGUAGUACGGAAUAAUUGUUGGAAACGGCAACUAAUACCGUAUACGCCCCACGGGGAAAAAUUUAUUGCUAUUAGAUGAGCCUAUAUUAGAUUAGCUUGUUGGUAGGGUAAUAGCUUACCAAGGCAAUGAUCUAUAGCUGAUCUGAGAGGAUGAUCAGCCACACUGGAACUGAGAUACGGUCCAGACUCCUACGGGAGGCAGCAGUGGGGAAUAUUGGACAAUGGGCGAAAGCCUGAUCCAGCUAUGCCGCAUGAGUGAAGAAGGCCUUUGGGUUGUAAAGCUCUUUUAGUGAGGAAGAUAAUGACGGUACUCACAGAAGAAGUCCUGGCUAACUCCGUGCCAGCAGCCGCGGUAAUACGGAGAGGGCUAGCGUUAUUCGGAAUUAUUGGGCGUAAAGGGCGCGUAGGCUGACUAAUAAGUUAAAAGUGAAAUCCCGAGGCUUAACCUUGGAAUUGCUUUUAAAACUGUUAAUCUAGAGAUUGAAAGAGGAUAGAGGAAUUCCUAGUGUAGAGGUGAAAUUCGUAGAUAUUAGGAGGAACACCAGUGGCGAAGGCGUCUAUCUGGUUCAAAUCUGACGCUGAGGCGCGAAGGCGUGGGGAGCAAACAGGAUUAGAUACCCUGGUAGUCCACGCUGUAAACGAUGAAUGUUAAAUAUGGGAAAUUUAUUUUCUGUAUUACAGCUAACGCGUUAAACAUUCCGCCUGGGGACUACGGUCGCAAGAUUAAAACUCAAAGGAAUUGACGGGG
rnacentral:rRNA from 1 species